CUCUGCAAGCUGCCUUUGUGGGUGGGUUGAGCUCCGCACUGAUCUCAGUGUUGUGCAGCACCCCAAGACCUUUGUGACUUGUUGCUGCUCCAAUGCAGAGGUCGUUGUGACUUUGCUAGUAGCACGCCUAGGGGAGUUGUGCAGAAAGCAGAUGGAUUUUGUGGGUGUCUUUCGCUGAGUGUUGGCCUCCAGGAACAUUUACCAAAAAGAGCAUUCCCAUGAUACACCAUCAUCUUCUCCAGAACAAACACAAAGGAGAUGUGUCCAUGUCACAGUGUGACCUUCCCCCCGCACACCCCAGUGCUUGACUGUGCAGGGAGCAGAGCUGGCUGGGUGUGCUUGCCUGGCUCCUGCCUGAGAAUGUUUCCAUGUCUGGAUGUGGUGGUUCCUAAUCGUGUGGCUUUUAAAUUGUCCAUUCCAUCCACUCCCUGUGCAAUUACUCAGGUGGAUGCUUCCUCCCAUUGAGAUGCAUGUGCAAGACUCCUGACUUGACGUUCAUGCCAGGACAUUCAUUGCAAUUACCCUUGAUUUGAGAGCAGCCUCUAAAGGAAAUAAAAAUGACAGCUUUGGAGCAAUCCUGUUGUGCAGCAUGAUGGCUCUUGGCAGCAGGAGACCUAAUCACCCUCCUGAAGGCUGCUAUUCCAACGCGGGAUCUGAACAGACAAGUCUUCAAGGAACGGAAUCUGUAACAGCAUUAAAAGGCUAGGGAAUUGAAUCCCAGAGCCUCAGAGGGGCAAUUUCAAGUCCUCAGCCAACUGAAGUUGAACUGUACACCUAUGGCAAGCUAAUUCCCAGCCCCGAGCUUUACCUCAUCGUAGGUCACAGAAACGACAACUUCAGAAUACCUGGAGUGAUGAUGGAGUGAUGAUGUGACCUUUUGCACUGUGGGGGAGGCAUUCCGUGCUCCGAUGGCUGUGGGCUCCUGUUAGCUCCAAUCUCCCCCAUCAUCACCGAAGACCAUUUCUGUUGGCAGAGAAGAAAGGGAAGAAGCCCUGCCUGCUGCCUUCUCCUGAGCACACUGCCCGAGAGCCAACAGCCUGGACCACAGGAGGCUUCCAGAUGCUGGCAGAGAAGCAGGAAUCAUUACAACGGAGCAGAGCCCCACACAAAGGAGCUCCUGACACCCGCCGGCAGGCGAUGAAUUAGUGCAGCACAGCUGGAGCUGCUUGAGGGCUGCAGAUGCAAAUCCCAGAGCUGUUCCUGCAUGUACCGGAGACAGUGCGGCCAGUCUGGGGGUUCCCAUAUAUAAGAUAUGUCGAGGUGCUAGAGCGAAGCUGAGAAAAAAUGUAUCUUUGAAGAGGCAAAGUGGACAUGUCAUUGAUGUCUAUGGUUAUUAAGAGGGGGAUGUGCAGAAGGGAGAACCAGACUGUCCUUGGAGAUGCACGGCGACAGGACGAGAGGCAACAAGCACAAAUGGCAGCAUGGAAAUUCUCAAUAGAGAGUGAAAAAUGCCCACCAUGAGAAUGUUCAAAUGGCAGACUGGGAGCCCAGAAAGGCUGUGAGACUCCAGUGUAUGAGAUGCUCAAAACUCAGCCGGACAUAGCAGCCUGGUAAGAUGGGCCUGCAUGGACUGGAAGCCAUGCUUUUAAUUGCAGCUGGUGUGACCUCUGUGUGACACUGGGGUGACAUUAUCCAAGCCUCUUAAGCAGAAGCCCGGUCCCAUCCCAGUUAAAUCUGCCAGCAUACAGCCAAUUGCCCAGAAGGCAACUGCAUUGCCCGUGGAUGCAGUGAUAUGAUCAAGUUCACCCAAAGUCUGUGUCAGAGAAAGGAGCUGAGCCCAGGGCUCAUGCAGCAGGGACCAACCAUCACAGCAUGGGGCCUGGAUGCACUUCAUGGAAAAGGAUAUAGUGGUUGAAAAAGGGCCCAGUGUAAAUCCUGCCCUGCCUCUGCCAGUGCUGAGAUCAGCAGGUUUUAAGUCUAAUUCCAGCAGAAGAUUUCUGCCUGUGCCAGAUGUGGUUUUCAGAUGCUGCACUGUGGCUUUGCUGCAUUCCUGGCCAACUGCAGCCAAGCAGACCCCUGGAGCCUUGCCAGAGAGGGAGAAGGUAAGCAAGAUCCCAAGGUGCCCCUCUCAACUGGAUGAUGCAUUUCAGCUUUGCUUCCAAGCCUUCCAGAAGGCACCAGCCCCUCUGCCCAGGUAUUAUUCUUGGGCGCUCUCAAAAUAGCUGCCUUUGCCUGGGAAUCAGAGAGGAGAGCUCAGUGAGUCCCCCUGAAUCUCCAGCUGCAGUAAUAUGUUGUUAUGAACCUCUACCAGAGCACUCGUAGUGCAGCUAGAGAGUCUGUCUGACAUUGCCUCCAGUGACCUUUUCGCUAUAGUCCAAGUGCCGUGGAGCUGGUGUUUCAAGAGGAAUUCAAAUGGAAUUUACUCAGGCAGAAAGGAUUGGCCUGGGGAUAGCCCUUCUACAGCUUCUGGUUCUCCUUGUCAUUCUCAUGGAAAUUGCAAUUCUUUAUGCAUGGUGCUUCUUCCUGCACCGCAGCAAAUGCGUCCCUUCAAGCAGCAGGCUGCUAACAGAGGGGCUCCAAAAUGAAGGCAUAACCCAUUACAAGGUCACAACGUGGCCAUGAGCCCUGACACCAAAACUGGCUGGUGGACAUCAGGCACCCGCCUCGAGUUCCAGGAUGCAGCUUGUUUACGUGGGAUGCGAGCAGCAGGGAUUUGUGUAAGCUUCGGGGCAUGGGG
rnacentral:lncRNA from 1 species